AAUCAUCGACCCAUAACCCUUCUAAAGACGCAAUGUGAUUUAUUUCCAUUGCUUUGCAUGUCAAAGUGAAGAAAUUCAACCAAUCAUGGGUAAAUGACGAGAGUAACUAUGACUAUAUUAAGGUAUCCAUAUGCCUCAUCAUCUAAUUAAUGACGCACACCAAUGGAUCAUUAACGAGAUUCCCCACUGUCCCCAGCUAUAAACCCCAUCCAAGGAAAUGGGAUUGGUAGAGUUAGCGGGGAAAGAAGACCCUCAUGUUGAGAUUGAUUCUAGUCCUAACCCAUUCAUAGUUCGGGAAAAUUAGGGCAUAUUUUGGGAAAAUUAGACCAUAACAUUUGUCUUUGGGAGUCAAAUUGAUGAUGGAAACAAGUGGGCAUGUGAGUCAAAUUUGAGUCUAGAAAACCUCCCAUAUUGUUAAGGCAUGUGAAUAGUUUAUCAACGAUCAUGAUGGUAUAAAAAUGAAUGAGCUUCUAUUGUGUCAACCAAU
rnacentral:ncRNA from 1 species